rnacentral:tRNA from 1 species
GGGGGUUUAGCUCAGCGGAAGAGCGCACGGUUCACAUCCGUGAGGUCACUGGUUCAAGCCCAGUAACCCCCACCA